GAUGAACGCUGGCGGCGUGCCUAAUACAUGCAAGUCGAGCGAAAGGAUUAAGAGCUUGCUCUUAUGAGGUUAGCGGCGGACGGGUGAGUAACACGUGGGUAACCUGCCCAUAAGACUGGGAUAACUCCGGGAAACCGGGGCUAAUACCGGAUAACAUUUUGAACCGCAUGGUUCGAAAUUGAAAGGCGGCUUCGGCUGUCACUUAUGGAUGGACCCGCGUCGCAUUAGCUAGUUGGUGAGGUAACGGCUCACCAAGGCAACGAUGCGUAGCCGACCUGAGAGGGUGAUCGGCCACACUGGGACUGAGACACGGCCCAGACUCCUACGGGAGGCAGCAGUAGGGAAUCUUCCGCAAUGGACGAAAGUCUGACGGGGCAACGCCGCGUGAGUGAUGAAGGCUUUCGGGUCGUAAAACUCUGUUGUUAGGGAAGAACAAGUGCUAGUUGAAUAAGCUGGCACCUUGACGGUACCUAACCAGAAAGCCACGGCUAACUACGUGCCAGCCGCCGCGGUAA
rnacentral:rRNA from 1 species